UAAUUAAGCUGAAGAAAGAAAAUUGGAAAGAGAGAUCAUCAUCACUUGCAACAGCUGCGAUAUCGUUCAAAAUCUCAAAACCAGGUCGACUCUUGCAUUUUCUCAGGCGGUAAUCAUCUUCAACCACAUCAUCUAUCAAUUCUGAUCUCUUCUGCUUCUUCUUCAUCUUUCCACCAUCAUAGUCAUCCUCGUCUUUUUUGUAAUGUCUGGUCAUGGCUAUAAGUCCGAAGUUUCACU
rnacentral:lncRNA from 1 species